AUUGAACGCUGGCGGCAGGCCUAACACAUGCAAGUCGAGCGGAUGAAGGGAGCUUGCUCCUGGAUUCAGCGGCGGACGGGUGAGUAAUGCCUAGGAAUCUGCCUGGUAGUGGGGUAUAACGUCCGGAAACGGGCGCUAAUACCGCAUACGUCCUGAGGGAGAAAGUGGGGGAUCUUCGGACCUCACGCUAUCAGAUGAGCCUAGGUCGGAUUAGCUAGUUGGUGGGGUAAAGGCCUGCCAAGGCGACGAUCCGUAACUGGUCUGAGAGGAUGAUCAGUCACACUGGAACUGAGACACGGUCCAGACUCCUACGGGAGGCAGCAGUGGGGAGUAUUGGACAAAGGGCGAAAGCCUGAUCCAGCCAUGCCGCGUGUGUGAAGAAGGUCUUCGGAUUGUAAAGCACUUUAAGUUGGGAGGAAGGGCAGUAAGUUAAUACCUUGCUGUUUUGACGUUACCAACAGAAUAAGCACCGGCUAACUUCGUG
rnacentral:rRNA from 1 species